UUGGAAACGAGGUGCUAAUACCGGAUAAGAAAGCAGAUCGCAUGAUCAGCUUUUAAAAGGCGGCGUAAGCUGUCGCUAUGGGAUGGCCCUGCGGUGCAUUAGCUAGUUGGUAAGGUAAAGGCUUACCAAGGCGAUGAUGCAUAGCCCGAGUUGAGAGACUGAUCGGGCCACAUUGGGGACUGAGACACGGGGCCCAAACUCCUACGGGGGGAGGGGCAGCAGGUAGGGGGAAUCUUCCACAAUGGACGCAAGUCUGAUGGAGCAACGCCGCGUGAGUGAAGAAGGUUUUCGGAUCGUAAAGCUCUGUUGUUGGUGAAGAAGGAUAGAGGUAGUAACUGGCCUUUAUUUGACGGUAAUCAACCAGAAAGUCACGGCUAACUACGUGCCAGCAGCCGCGGUAAU
rnacentral:rRNA from 1 species